UGCAGUUAAAAAGCUCGUAGUCGGAUUUCAGUAUUAGGCCCUUCUUCCAAUACGGUUGCUAGUGGUCUUUACUUCCUUAACAGAAUCUUUCAUCUCAUUAAUUUGGGGUGUUUGGGGCCUGUUUCUUUUACUUUGAGAAAAUUAGAGUGUUCAAAGCGGGUUUUCGCCUGGAUAUUACUCUUGGAAUAAUAAUAUAGGACUUUGGUUCUUUUUUGUUGGUGACUUAGAACCGAAGUAAUGAUUGAUAGGGACAGUUGGGGUCAUUCGUACUAUGAAGCGAGAGGUGAAAUUCAUGGACCUUUGUAUGACGAACUACUGCGAAAGCAUUUGACUAGGAUGUUCCCGUUGAUCAAGAACGAAAGUUGGGGGAUCGAAGACGAUCAGAUACCGUCGUAGUCUCAACCAUAAACUAUGCCAGCUAGGGAUUGGAGGAAGAUCAUUUUACGUCUCCUUCAGCACCUUAUGAGAAAUCAAAGCAUUUGGGUUCCGGGGGGAGCAUGGUCGCAAGGCUGAAACUUAGAGGAAUUGACGGGAGGGCACUACCAGGAGUGGGAGCCUGCGGCUUAAUUUGAUUCAAC
rnacentral:rRNA from 1 species